rnacentral:rRNA from 1 species
UACGACUACAUAUCAGGCAUAUCAAUAAGCGGAGGAAAAGAAACUAACAAGGAUUCCCUUAGUAACGGCGAGUGAAGCGGGAAGAGCUCAAAUUUGAAAUCUUAAAGGGUUUCCCUUUACGAAUUGUAGUUUAAAGAAGUGUUUUCUGUUGAAGUUUUGGUAAAAGUUCUUUGGAAUAGGACAUCAUAGAGGGUGAGAAUCCCGUAUUUGACCAUUAUUUUCAGCUGUGUGAUACACUUUCAAAGAGUCGGAUUGUUUGGGAAUGCAGUCCAAAAUGGGUGGUAAAUUUCAUCUAAAGCUAAAUAUUGGCGAGAGACCGAUAGCGAACAAGUACCGUGAGGGAAAGAUGAAAAGAACUUUGAAAAGAGAGUUAAACAGUACGUGAAAUUGUCAAAAGGGAAGCGUUUGACACCAGUGUUGUUUUUCCAAAAAUCAAUUACGAAUGGCUUGAUUUUGCGUUGUAUUGACCUUAUCAGCUUUCUGCACUUUUUUCGAGUCUUUCUUAAUGCACUUUUCGGUUAACAAGUCAACAUCAAUUUCUUUUGUUGUAAAAGAGUAUUCGGAAGGUGGCUUUCUUUUCGGAGAAAGUGUUUAUAGCCCUAUACUUCUACAAUCGGAGAGAUUGAGGUCUGCAGCGUAGAUCCUUCGGGGUUAGAUACACUUGUGCUAAGUUGUAGCUUUUCAUAGACAACUUGUUGACUAUGUUUAGUCAUGCGUCUUACUCGCUUGUGCUAUUUUACCUACGCUUAGGAUGUUGAGUAGCGACAUACGCAC